AUGAAACUCAGCAGAUCCUUACCUUGUGGUUUUAGAGCCAAGUCUGGAAAAUCAGAAGUGAUGGGGUCAAGUCAGAGCAAGAAAGUUGAAAACCAAGAAUUAAAUCAACCUUGGAUUUCAUCACAGACCAGACAGGCUGGACUCUCACUCUUGUCCAAGUUCAUCAGGGCCGACGAAGGAAAGGAGGAAACCAUGGCCACCUUCCUGGAAGCAGAGGCCAGACCCAGGUACCAGGGUGCCCCUGGGGAUCACCCUCACCCUCUCGGAGCUGGACCGCCACCACCGAUGGAGUCGAGAAAUUCCCCCGCUGUAUUUAAAAAUAGUGUAUUAAUAGAAAAUUUGGAAUAUACUACAGCCCACAGGUCAGGAGACAAUGACCAUUGAGAAGAUGGUUUGGAGUUCCCACUGUGGCACACCGGGACUGGCGGUGUCUGGGAGGCAGGUUGGAUCCCUGGCCUGGCGUAGUGGGCUGAGGAUCUGGGGUUGCCGCAGCUGCACUGCUGCUAGAAUCUGAUCCCUAGCCUGGGAACUCUAUGCCACAGGGCAGCCAAAAAAGAAAAAAAGAAAAAGAUGGUUUGUUAUCACAGCUCCUGAGAGGGUUGGGAGGGGGGCGCACGAGGAAGCAGCACCAGGGUUGGUCAGGAGGCAGGGCAGGGGGGUGUCUGUGGCAGUUUCCAUGGCGUUGGCCCAGGGACACAUCUCCCAGCUUCUGUGACCUUCAGGGUCUGGAGCUGCCCCCACGCUGGCUCUGGUUGUAACUGCUUAGUGGCUGAAGCCCCUGGGAAGGGGAUAAAAUGAGUGAACGCUCCCUCCUCUGGCUGGACACAGAGGGAGGUAAGUCUUUGCCCCCUGGUUUGCAGAGAGAUGUGCGGGGAAACCCCCAGGGAGUGUCUUCAGCAGCCCAGCAGCACAUCCUGAGCCCCUGGGAGGAGAAAGGACCACGGUGAAUUAGGGCUCCCAGCCCCGCUUGGAGUCACAGUCAAGCCCCUCCCUUCCAGGCGGAGCCCCACAGAGAUGGACAGGGAGAAGCAUAAGCCUCCAGGGUGACCUUUGAACCCUCCCUCCCCCUCCUGCCACCUCCCGCCUCUCUGUUAGAGUGAUGCCUGGGUCCUAGGACCAACUUUGUGCAGAAUCCAGGUGCUAAGAAGAAAGUGUUGGAAAAUUACUGGAGCCAGAAAGGCUAAAUUGAUGGAGAGGAGAAGAGGGGAGACAAGGGCUGGGGGGAGUGGGGGUCGAUGGAAUGAGUAAGGUCUUUGGGAGGCUUUUGGUGAAGGCUGUGGGGGUUGAGGCGGGAGAGAGGUGAAUUAGAACCUUUUAUAGAUGUCUUUCUGUGUUUUAAGAAAAAAAAAGUUCCCCUUUAAAUUUCCCUCCAGAUUUGGGCCUCUUUCAAUCCUACUUUUAUUUUCCUGGAAAGUGGUGCCAGGCUAGGACUUGGCUGCAUUGGGUCCCAUGUUCAUGUGGGUUACAACGAACUGAGAUGUGGCUUUUCAUAAACUGGAUCCAGGGUUGACUUUGCCGCUAUCCAGUUUUUACAGGAGAGCAGAAAAAGCAUCCCUGGCUUGCGUGUUCUGGGACAGAGGGAAGGCUGGGUACUGCUCCCAUGGCCAGCAGAUGUUCUGAUUUCAUCUCCCUUCCCGACCUCCCCAUUCUGAUUCAGGCUCAGAGGUAAACGGGAACAUUUUUCUAGGGAAAUGUCUACACAGCGCCAAACUGGAGGCAGAGCAGUUUACAGACAGUGGUUUGGUCCACAGGUUGCAGAGUGACCUGAAGGGAAGCUUUGGCUCACGUUCUCUUUUCUUUCUCUCUCUCUCUCUCUCUUUUUUUUUUUUUUUUUUCCCCGCCAUGCCCUAGGUAUGCAGAAGUUCCCAGGCCAGGGCUGGAACUCACACCCCAGCAGUGAAACACCAGACCCCUAACCCAGUGAGCCACCAGGGAGCUCCGUGACUCACAUUCUCUGCUUUAUUCCAUAUCUUCCUCUCCUUUCUCUUACCUGAGUGACUGUCUCAGGUUCAAGGUGGGGAAUGGUGGCUCGGCACCUUUUACCGGCCAAGGUUUAGUUUCCUUUGUUUGAAAAGUAAUAACAUCAGGCCCAAAGUCACCUACUCCUGGCAAGUGGGAGGGCUGAUGGGUGACUUCAGGGCAGGAGGCCUGUGCAGGAGGCAGUGCAAAGGGAAAGAAAAUGGGCUGCUCUAGAACAGCGGGUGGCAGGGGGCACCGCUCUGGCGCCUCUGAUGGAAAACCUCUGUUGAGAGAGCGACACCUUCCUGCAGCACUUUAGAAUCAGAAGAGUGGCUUUUGAUUUUUAACUCUGAGGCGGUCGUUUUAGAGCCUUUAGAUCCUGUCCUCAGAGGUCCCAGCCUGAGCUGCAAACUCGGGAGGGGCAGACACACCCCUCCCGGGGGCUGCCACGCGGCUUCUUCAAUGGAAAAGU
rnacentral:lncRNA from 1 species